UACGAAGGGGGCUAGCGUUGCUCGGAAUCACUGGGCGUAAAGCGCACGUAGGCGGCUUUCUAAGUCAGGGGUGAAAUCCUGGAGCUCAACUCCAGAACUGCCUUUGAUACUGGCAAUCUUGAGUCCGGAAGAGGUGAGUGGAACUCCUAGUGUAGAGGUGGAAUUCGUAGAUAUUAGGAAGAACACCAGUGGCGAAGGCGGCUCACUGGUCCGGUACUGACGCUGAGGUGCGAAAGCGUGGGGAGCAAACAGG
rnacentral:rRNA from 1 species